AACGAACGCUGGCGGCAGGCCUAACACAUGCAAGUCGAGCGCCCCGCUAGGGGAGCGGCAGACGGGUGAGUAACGCGUGGGAAUUUACCCAAUGGUACGGAAUAGCCCAGGGAAACUUGGAGUAAUACCGUAUAAGCCCGAAAGGGGAAAGAUUUAUCGCCAUUGGAUGAGCCCGCGUUGGAUUAGCUAGUUGGUGAGGUAACGGCUCACCAAGGCGACGAUCCAUAGCUGGUCUGAGAGGAUGAUCAGCCACACUGGGACUGAGACACGGCCAAGACUCCUACGGGAGGCAGCAGUGGGGAAUAUUGGACAAUGGGCGCAAGCCUGAUCCAGCCAUGCCGCGUGAGUGACGAAGGUCUUCGGAUUGUAAAGCUCUUUUGGCGGGGACGAUAAUGACGGUACCCGCAGAAUAAGCCCCGGCUAACUUCGUGCCAGCCGCCGCCGUAAAAC
rnacentral:rRNA from 1 species